CAUAUGAGAAGUCACACAGGAGAGA
rnacentral:piRNA from 1 species